AGAGGAGAUAAGGAGAUGAAUCAUAGCGUUGUAAUUGGAAUAAGGAAGUGAAUCAAGUGUAGUAAUUAGAAUAAGGAUAAAAAUCACUUUGUAGUAAUUAGAAUAAGCAUGUAAAUUACAUUGUUGUAAUUGGAAUAAGGAAAUAAACCACAGUAUAAUAAUUAAAAUAAAGUAUGUUGAAACUUUUUUUUUCUUAUUCUUAACAUUCCUUAUUGUGCGCUUUUCUCUUUCCUUUUCUACUCUAGGGCUUUCUUCCAUACACUUUUUGCAGUGUGGACAUUCAUUCGAUUGCAGUAUGGUCGCCACUUUUAUAGCAGAGAAAAAGAAAGAGAAAUAAUAGAAUAAAUAAAAGAAAAGAAAAUAAAAAUACAAUCAAGAUCAAGUAUUUUUUUUAUUUUUUUCUUUCUUUUCUUUCCUUUCUUUUCUUUUAUUUAAACAUUGUUAGACCACACUUUGUUUCACCUAAAUGCAUCAUUGCUAGCAAUCGACAAAAGUUGCUGUAAGCAUUUAUGAAUAUUGGUUGAUCAUUCUGAUUUUCAAGAGUUUCAUUGAGUAAUCUGAGGUCGACCCUUGAAAUGUAUGGUGUUGAGUCUGUAUGGAUUGCUAGAAUUGUUGGUACCAUUCGAAUUGUUUCUACCUUGUUGCAACGAAACAAAACUUGGAGGGGGAAGCAAACGAAAAAGAGAGUAGGAAGGAGUGCAGUAAAUGAAUAGGGAUGUAGAGGGAGAGACAGUAAAAGACGACAUAGAGAGGCAGUAACCCGAAUAAGGCUUUAGAAAGAGUAUACUAAAAAUAAAUAAGACUAUAAAAAAAGUGCAGUAAAAAAUUAAGAACUUGGAAAGAGUCAGUAAACCGAUUAAGAAUCUAGAGGGAGAGCAGUAGAAAGAGUUUUGAUAGAAACUAAAUGAUUCAACUCGCACACAUAUAUAUAUGUAAAGUAAAAUAUACAGAGUGUGAAAUGAUUUACAUGAAAACACUUGUUGGGUAUUGUAAUAAAAAACAAUUCGCAGGUAAACAAAGAAUAACUAAGAAUCAAAUGAGCCACAAGUUUUCUAUUUAUUUAAUUUUAACUUGUUUUUUGUCUGACAACAAUAUUAUUUUCAUUUAUUUACUUGUUUGUUCAAAUUGUUGUAAACAAAGACUAAUUUAGUGAUUACUCUGGGUGAAAGAAUGAGCAAUGCAAAAUAAAAAAAUAAAUAGAAAAUAAAAAAAAUAAAAUAAAAAUAAAAUUGAUAAUUAAAAAUAUAAAAAAUAAAAUUAGGAAAAUAAAAUUAGGAAAAUAAAAUCUUGAAAAAAUUCACUUUAUAAAAAAAAAAAAAAAUCAAACUAGAAU